GAUGAACGCUGGCUACAGGCUUAACACAUGCAAGUCGAGGGGAAACGACGGGGAAGCUUGCUUCCCCGGGCGUCGACCGGCGCACGGGUGAGUAACGCGUAUCCAACCUGCCUCUGACUGAGGGAUAACCCGUCGAAAGUCGGCCUAAUACCUCAUGGUAUCGUCUGCGGGCAUCCAACGACGAUUAAAGAUUUCAUCGGUCAGGGAUGGGGAUGCGUCUGCUUAGCUUGUUGGCGGGGUAACGGCCCACCAAGGCUACGAUCAGUAGGGGUUCUGAGAGGAAGGUCCCCCACAUUGGAACUGAGACACGGUCUAAACUCGUACGGGAGGCAGCAGUGAGGAAUAUUGGUCAAUGGGCGAGAGCCUGUACCAGCCAAGUAGCGUGCAGGAAGACGGCCCUAUGGGUUGUAAACUGCUUUUAUGCGGGGAUAAAGUGAGGGACGUGUCCCUCAUUGCAGGUACCGCAUGAAUAAGGACCGGCUAAUUCCGUG
rnacentral:rRNA from 1 species